AUGUGAAGAAUGCAAAGAAGAAAGUUAUUGGCCCAAGCAAGCCUCCUGUGACCAUGUCUAAGCAGUACCCAGAAGAUGACCCCGACUACUGCGUUUGGGUUCCUCCAUCGGGUCAGACCGGUGAUGGUCGAACACAUCUAAACGAUAAGUACGGAUACUGAAUACAGAAAGGAAAGACCGUCCUCACUGGAUCAGGAAUGGAAUCAGUCCAACCGUUCAUCUUAGCCCUUGGGAGUGGACAGAUAUAUCAUUUUUUCCAAUCUUUAUGCCAAAACAGUGAACUUUUUGAAAGAUGUUAGGUUAGAAUAAGAUGUUUCUUGCACUUGUUAUUGAAAACUGUUUGGUCCUGUGACUGAUUUUCACUUCCCUUUGCCCUGUUUUCAUUAAAAUACAUUCAUUUUCCACACCUGGUCUGAGGCCAAGGAUAGUUUUGGAGUGGAGGUAGCUUAAGGUUGGGGAAAAUAUUAUUCUAUUUUCAGGGUUGUUUUCCUGGGCGCACAAUGUUUUGGAGUUUCUGUUUUGCUGCUUAUUCAAUUCGAAAUGUAUUCCAUUUGACAUUGUAUUUUCUUCAAAUGCGUCAGUCGUGUCAAUCCACUUGUGUCUAAGCACUUCUGUUGUUGACAAAUCUCUACGCACAUCUUGCUGUUCUGGGAUCAUUUCAGCAAGCUUAAGUGAGCUCAUUGACCACUCAGUGUGCUGUUCUGGGUCAUUCUCGGAACGACGGCGGACUCCCUCCUCGGUUUGGCUGAGUGGCCACGCUCCGUAUGGCGAGAGCUCCUGUUGGAUGCGGUUCUGUUGACUGCUAACGAUGCCUCCUCAGAGAAAGGCGGCUUUACCAGCCAUCUGCACACUUGCUUGGUAUUCUAGGAUUGGGAGUGAGCUGUUAAUGAAUCAGUCUAUGUGUGUGUGUUUGCAAGAAAGGGAGUGAUAGUGAGCUCCGUGUACAUUAUUAAUGUGUGUAUUUACUUCCCUUGAUAUUAAUGAAGACUGACUCAAUGAUGUGCGCGCUUGUGUGUGUGUGUUGGCGUCUCCGAAGAUGGGUUAGGCCCCCCACAUUCACUACUACGCACUGGUCUCUCUGUUUAUCCAAUCGUUUUAGUGCUUUUGAAUUCUCUACUGUUUGGGGAGAGCAUGAUUAGUCAUUUACAAAAUGUGUGUUUUGUUAUGUUUUGUCAAUUAAAAAUUUACGCUGUGUCUCACCAA